AGUGAACGCUGGCGGUAGGCCUAACACAUGCAAGUCGAACGGCAGCACAGUAAGAGCUUGCUCUUACGGGUGGCGAGUGGCGGACGGGUGAGGAAUACAUCGGAAUCUACUUUUUCGUGGGGGAUAACGUAGGGAAACUUACGCUAAUACCGCAUACGACCUACGGGUGAAAGCAGGGGAUCUUCGGACCUUGCGCGAUUGAAUGAGCCGAUGUCGGAUUAGCUAGUUGGCGGGGUAAAGGCCCACCAAGGCGACGAUCCGUAGCUGGUCUGAGAGGAUGAUCAGCCACACUGGAACUGAGACACGGUCCAGACUCCUACGGGAGGCAGCAGUGGGGAAUAUUGGACAAUGGGCGCAAGCCUGAUCCAGCCAUACCGCGUGGGUGAAGAAGGCCUUCGGGUUGUAAAGCCCUUUUGAUGGGAAAGAAAAGCAGCAGGUUAAUACCCCGCUGUUCUGACGGUACCCAAAGAAUAAGCACCGGCUAACUUCGU
rnacentral:rRNA from 1 species